rnacentral:rRNA from 1 species
UGCCCUAUAGCGGGGGAUAACUACGCGAAAUCGUAGCUAAUACCGCAGACGCCCUACGGGGGAAAGCAGGGGAUCGCAAGACCUUGCACUAUUGGAGCGGCCGAUAUCGGAUUAGCUAGUUGGUGGGGUAACGGCUCACCAAGGCGACGAUCCGUAGCUGGUUUGAGAGGACGACCAACCACACUGGGACUGAGACACGGCCCAUACUCCUACGGGAGGCAGCAGUGGGGAAUUUUGGACAAUGGGGGAAACCCUGAUCCAGCCAUCCCGCGUGUGCGAUGAAGGCCUUCGGGUUGUAAAGCACUUUUGGCAGGAAAGAAACGUCGUGGGUUAAUACCCCGCGAAACUGACGGUACCUGCAGAAUAAGCACCGGCUAACUACGUGCCAGCAGCCGCGGUAAUACGUAGGGUGCAAGCGUUAAUCGGAAUUACUGGGCGUAAAGCGUGCGCAGGCGGUUCGGAAAGAAAGAUGUGAAAUCCCAGAGCUUAACUUUGGAACUGCAUUUUUAACUACCGAGCUAUAGUGUGUCAGAGGGAGGUGGAAUUCCGCGUGUAGCACUGAAAUGCGUAGAUAUGCGGAGGGAGCACCGAUGGCGAAGGCAUCUUCCUGGGAUAGCACUGACGCUCAUGCACGAAAACGUGUGGAGCAAACACGAGUAGAUACCCUGGUAGUCCACGCCCUAAACGAUGUCAACUACCUGUUGGGGCCUCCGGGCGAUGUUAGCGCAGCUACGACGUGAAGUUGACCGGCUGGUGAGUACGACGUCACGAUUAAUACUCACAGGAAUUGAUGUCACCUUCACAGACGCUGCAUGAUGUGAUUACUCAUGCAUGCGAAAACGUACUACCCUGACAUG